UACGAGGGGGGCAAGCGUUGUUCGGAAUUAUUGGGCGUAAAGGGUGCGUAGGCGGUUUGAUAAGUCUGAUGUGAAAUCUCUGGGCUCAACCCAGAGUCUGCAUCGGAAACUGUCGGGCUUGAGUAUGGGAGAGGUGAGUGGAAUUUCCGGUGUAGCGGUGAAAUGCGUAGAUAUCGGAAGGAACACCAGUGGCGAAAGCGGCUUCCUGGUCCAGCACCGACGUUCAGGCACGAAAGCGUGGGGAGCAAACAGG
rnacentral:rRNA from 1 species